rnacentral:lncRNA from 12 species
AUGACAGUGCUGCUGCCGCUGGUAGCUAACAGGCCCGUGGCCAGGAUUUUCGAGGUGUCCUCGGAAUGUCCCCACGGACGGCCGCCUUCCUUCCAGGCGGGCCCACUCCCCGCCCCAUCCCCCCCGCAUCCCGCCUUAGCCCCGAGCAGGCCCCCCCCCUCCUCCUCGCACCCGGCCCAGCCCCGUCCCUGCGGGGGUCCCUGUACCCACCAUUACACUGCGCCUCACUCGGCCGCGCCCCCCGGCCCUGCGCCCCCUCGGGACGGGCAGUCCGCGGGCGGCGCGGGCCACGUGCUGGGGUCUGUGCCGUCACUCAUUGUGCUGCAGCCAAUGGGCGGCGCCGGCGCCAGGCCGCCGCCCCGAGGUGCGCACCCCCACGCCCAGAGGGGCGCAGCAGCCGGGGGCCCAGGCACCGCCGGGGGAGGGAGCGCUGCGGCUAACGUCGGCUCCAGCGACCGCCAGAGGCCGGCGAGCACAUGGGGUGCGCGCGCAGUCGUCGACGGAGCAGCCCCCCCGCGGGCGCGACAGCCGAGCGGCGCUGCCCCCCCGCACUCCGAGACCGCGGGCCCAGGGGCGCUGGCCGCGAAUUCGGCACCGCGGGGCACACGCCCCAAGGCCUGCCUUACCCGGACGGGAGGACAAGCGGGGACGCCCAGCACUCAAGGCUGACGCUCAGAGGCACUCGGAGCUCCCCGAUCCUCAGCUCCCAGCGAGGCCAACCGUGGGUCCCAAUUCCGGGCUGCAGGGCCGCGCUCCUCCACGCCGGCCUCCCUUGCACGUGGGAAACGCAGAGAGCCUGGGAAUUCCACUGACGCUGGCAUCUGUGAGCCGCACAAUGAAACCCCGUGUCUGAUUUCCUGCCCUGAGCCCUUGAGGGAGAGGGAGUUAGAGGAUUUGGGGGGCUGCGGUGCAGGGGCGCUGCUGGUCCUACUGUGAGCCAAGCGGACAGGGAAGGACCCUGAGCUCGUCCCGCCUCGCCGCGCUGUCGGGGCGCCCCGGGCACCUCGCACACCCCGACCUCGCAGCCGUAGUGAGCACCACGGGCAGGGGAGCACCCGCCCGCCCCCGGCUCCCCGCGCCGGGGGGCCUGGAGCCUGCCGCCUGGGGGGUCCCUGCCGCCCGCCCGGGAGUCUCACCCCCCCAAGGGCAAGGGCGGAGCCGCCCCCAGGAUCCAUCCCGGCGGUCCAGCUCGGGGCCCACGCCGGUUCAGUCCCCAAUCAGGCGGCAGGAGUCAGCAUUCUAGAAACAGUCCCUCCGCGGAGGGAACUGCAGGCGAGCAGCAGGGUCCUCGGCCUGACGGCGGGGACUGCGGGGACGGGCGGCCCGGAGCCCCCCGGAGCCCCGGGGCUGUGGGAGGAACCUGAGGCCCAGGGCGAGGGCAGGAGGGGGGGCUGGCCUCCGAAGCGAGGGCCCUGGACUCGUGGGGGGACUGCUGUCGCCCGCGGGGAAGGAGGAAGCCACAUGACCCUCCAAGGGGGGACCCCGCGCAGGAGGGGGCUGCUGAGGCCCCGGCUUCCCGCCGCUGGGCCUGGCCUGGGCGCCCCACCUCUGCUGUACCCCCGCCCCCCGCUGCCAUUCCUGCUGCAAUGACUGUGGUUCUUAGGCCUCGUGUGCUUUCCCACACCUGCCUGGACGCUCCCCUGUGUUUGAAGGAAGCCCCGCACCCAGC